rnacentral:rRNA from 1 species
UACGGGGGGGAGCAAGCGUUGUUCGGAUUUACUGGGCGUAAAGGGCGCGUAGGCGGCCAGCACAAGUCAGUUGUGAAAUCUCCGGGCUUAACUCGGAAAGGUCAACUGAUACUGUGCGGCUAGAGUGCAGAAGGGGCAACUGGAAUUCUCGGUGUAGCGGUGAAAUGCGUAGAUAUCGAGAGGAACACCUGCGGCGAAGGCGGGUUGCUGGGCUGACACUGACGCUGAUGCGCGAAAGCCAGGGGAGCGAACGGGG